AUACGGAGGGUGCGAGCGUUAAUCGGAAUUACUGGGCGUAAAGCGUACGUAGGCGGUUAUUUAAGUCAGAUGUGAAAGCCCCGGGCUUAACUUGGGAACUGCAUUUGAAACUGGGUAACUAGAGUUUACUAGAGGGGAGUGGAAUUUCAGGUGUAGCGGUGAAAUGCGUAGAGAUCUGAAGGAACACCAGUGGCGAAGGCGACUCCCUGGACUAAAACUGACGCUGAGGUACGAAAGCGUGGGUAGCAAACAGAAUUAGAUACCCUAGUAGUCC
rnacentral:rRNA from 1 species